rnacentral:rRNA from 2 species
ACGGGAGGCAGCAGUGAGGAAUAUUGGUCAAUGGGCGGAAGCCUGAACCAGCCAAGUCGCGUGAGGGAAGACGGCCCUACGGGUUGUAAACCUCUUCUGCGCGGGGGUAAAGUCGGGGACGGGUCCCCGAUUGCAAGUACCGCGCGAAAAAGGAUCGGCUAACUCCGUGCCAGCAGCCGCGGUAAUACGGAGGAUCCGAGUGUUAUCCGGAUUUAUUGGGUUUAAAGGGUGCGCAGGCGGGAUGUCAAGUCAGUGGUGAAAUGGUGCGGCUCAACCGUAGCAUUGCCGUUGAAACUGGCGUCCUUGAGUGCGAAUGAGGUACGCGGAACGUGUCAUGUAGCGGUGAAAUGCAUAGAUAUGACACAGAACACCGAUUGCGAAGGCAGCGUACUGGGACGCGACUGACGCUGAGGCACGAAAGUGCGGGGAUCGAACAGGAUUAGAUACCCUGGUA